ACUUUGCUUGGCACUUCUCUAUCCUGCCACCAUGUGAAGAAGGACGUGUUGCUUCCCCUUCCACUAUGAUUCUGCAUUUCUUGAGACCUCCCGAGCCAUGCAGAACUGGUCUCUUUCUGCCUCCCAAGCUGGAAUGCCAUGAUGCGAUCUUGACUCACUUCAGCCUCAGCCACCCGGGCUCAGGGCUCAGGUGAUCCUCCUACCUCAGACUCCUGAGCAGCUGGAACUACAGGAAUUGACUUGCUUUGGCCAAGAAAUGUGAGCAGAAGUGAUGAGAACCACUUUCAACCAAAGUUUUAAGAGUCAUCAUAUGAAGAUACUUGAGGCCUCCUUAAAUUAGUUGCAGUAACACAUGGAACAAGAGAUCCACAUUCUCCAACAAUAUAGAAACCAGAAUUCAGCAGCUCUGCAAGAAAUCUAGUCAACACAUUUAUUAUGAUGAUUUAUUAUUCACUGAGCACCAACUCAGUGCUUCUUAUAACAGGAAAAAUAAACUUCUUUUCUAUUUCAGAUAUUUUAAAAUAUAAACAAAAAUAAAUGGAAGAAAGAAAUA